CCUACGGGUGGCAGCAGUGGGGAAUAUUGCACAAUGGGGGAAACUCUGAUGCAGCGACGCCGCGUGAGUGAAGAAGUAUUUCGGUACGUAACGCUCUAUCAGCAGGGAAGAAAAAAAGUCCUUUGGACUUUUGCCGGUACCUGACCAAGAAGCCCCGGCUAACUACGUUCCAGCAGCCGCGGUAAUACGUAGGGAGCAAGCGUUAUCCGGAUUUACUGGGUGUAACGGGAGCGUAGACGGCAUAGCAAGUCUGGAGGGAAAUGGCGGGGCCCAACACCGGAACUGCUUUGGACACUUGGCAGAUGGAGUGCAGGAGAGGUAAGCGGAAUUCCUAGUGUAGCGGUGAAAUGCGGAGAUAUUAGGAGGAACACCAGUGGCGAAGGCGGCUGACUGGACUGUAACUGACGUUGAGGCUCGAAAGCGUGGGGAGCAAACAGGAUUAGAUACCCCAGUAGUC
rnacentral:rRNA from 1 species